AAUGUUUUCAACUAUCAUUUUCAAACAUGUUAACCAGGCAGGGUUAACCUUACAGUAGUAACCUUACUCAACACUGAUUACUGUUAGACUUUCGAAAUCCUUCAUCACUUGAAUUAAGAUUAUAAUAUUUUAAUUUUAAUGGAGACAUUGGAUGCCAAAUAUCUUCAUUUGCAUAUAAAUGUGUCUUGGCAGUGUGUGGACACAACCACCCUACAAUGAUAAAAAUUCACUCCUUUUUUUUUAAUCCCCAAAAACCUAAACAGUCUCAAUUAUCAAGCCAUUUUGAUUUUGUAUUAAAUACCCAGCGCUCUCUUCCACCUUCAAUACUACGACUGAGGUGAGACCCUUGAGCAAGACACCGAACCCCCAACUGCUCCCCGGGCGCCGCAGCAUUGGCUGCCCACUGCUCUGGGUGUGUGUUCACUACUGUGUGUGUGUGCACUUGGAUGGGUUAAAUGCAGAGCACAAAUUCCGAGUAUGGGUCACCAUACUUGGCCACACGUCACUUCACUUUCACUAAAUUCGUUUAUGUCUGGCUGCGCAAAUAAUUUUACUCCAGACUCCAGGCAGGUUUUGUUAAAAAGUUAAAACUCAAAGAUGAAUCAGUACUCAUUUUUCAUGAUCCAGCUGCACCUCCAGAAGUAGUAAGUCUCACACUUUAUAUUUUUUAUGAUUAUUUGCGAAUCAGCUUUGCUCUUCCACAGAAGUGAGGGGUGGGGUGAGCAGAGCUCAUUAGCAUGUAAAGAGAUAUGCAGCGAAACGAGUUGCUGUGAACAGAGCUGUUUUUGACAAGGUAAAAAGGGUGUUGUUUUUCAUGACCACUGAGACCAUUUCAAGAAUACCAACUUGUGGAAAAUGGGCAUCCGAUAUCCCCUUUGAAGCACAGCCAUCACAAAAUCAGACUUACUUUAAAAUCAUUCUGAUGUUAAAUACUGAUUUAAAAUCAUAACAAGAAAUAGUUUAAUUAUGAUAAUUAUGAUCAUAGUUUAGCUAUGAUACUGUUUUUUUAAAUAAAAUCUUUGCAUAGCUAUGACAGGAAACACUGGAAUCUAACAAUGCCUUAGAAAAAAAAAAACAGUUAAUCUUUAAAAAAAAAAAGCAUAUACAGUACUGUUACAUAUCACAGUCUUUUUUUUAUUAUUAUUGUAAUAGUUUAUUUUGAAUGUAAACUUUAUGCAGUAUGUGGAAAACGUCAUCAAUUGCUGACAGGAACUAGGAGGUCGAUGACGUAUAAAGGCUUCGUCAACGCAGUUGCGGCAGCAACAAACAGUACCUCGUGGAGCGAGAUAGAGAACCAGAGCCCCGGCGUGCAAACUGUGGCCGGAGUGUCUCGAGGCGUUGAGCGUGAUUCAUCUACGCGAUGACUAAUUGUGAUCGGUGAAGGCUUUUCAUCUUAUGUUUAAGUUAAGUUGUGUUGUGCAUUCUGACUAUCAUGUAUUCAAAUAGAUCGAUUCUAACUGACGUCGAUCUGCAUUUCAUCUGUUAUGCCUUUUCUCAUUACAGCUGUGUUGUGAGUCUUUCGUCUAGUGAUCUUUGUGGAUAACAGAGAAAGCGAUAGAUUAUGAUGUCAUGUGACAUACAUUGAACACAUGGUUCACAAGCAACAUGCCCGUGGACACUGUGGACUUUCAAGUCCGCAUGUGUACUGCACGUCGACGCGGACGACGACGCAGAAGUAUAAAUGAAAACCGACGCACAGCUUACAGCGUUGGUCCGACGCAGAAGUAUUGGGCUUCACUCCCAGUGCGCUGUGAGUCAUGGCAACAUAAUAGCCAGGUCGGAGCACCAGCCGUUCAUAUUGGUAUUACCAACUAAAGGAGCUAUACGACUGUGGUUGUGAGUGUUGUGUCAUCUAAAUAUAGGGGUCCCCGUAUGAGGCAGACUGAGUGUGAGCAGUCACUUUAACGCAGCUCUCUUCUACCCCCUCCCUUUGGGCCGUGCUGCUGCUUUGGGUCGUCACAUUCUUGUCCAAUUACUUAAGUGGGCUUGAUGUUCUGUUUUGUGUUUUUGUUGUAUUGGGAUAUAUAUCUUUUUGUUUAGUUGUUGUUGUUUGGAUUUUGCUGUUACUGUCACUAACGCCUCAGUCUUUGUAACAGUUUCUAUUAAUUAGAGUGAUUACCGCUAUGCGGUAUUAGUGAUCUCGGUCAUUCAUGAAGCCUUAUGAUCAGUACUGAGUAGUCAUCUUUGUGUUAUUGUGACAGUAUAAUUUAUUUGUGGUUUCAAUGUGUAUUUUGUUAGAUUUGUUUGUGUAACUGAUCUUUUGAUUCUUUUUCUCUUUUGUAUUUUGCAGGAGCUGAGUGUUUCUCAGAAGCAGGCUGGUUUUUGGGUUGCACCAAAUUCACUUUAACAAGGGGUUGUCGUUAUUGCUGUUAUUAUUUGCAGUGAAUUUUGUGGAUGUGAUUCUGAUUGAUUGGGAUAUAUUUUCCUCUUUUUGGGUGCAUUACCCUACUAGCCUGUCCAUCAUACAGGAAGCCUCAGCCCCUGCUACGAUCUUCAAUUAUUCUUUUUUUUUUUUCCUUUUUUUUUUUCCUUUAUUUGACCAAGACAAUUUAAUGGUGUUGCUGGUUGGUUUUAAAAUUACUGUUGCCUAAUACUUUUAGUUUUAAUAAAAUGAUUAUUUAAAUCGGACGGAAACUCAUGCCACUUGCCUUUUCUAUGUGGAACGUAUUUGUGUGUCUGAAUUCUUUGGUUAAUUCCCUGGUAUUUCAGGGUGGCGUAGUCCCUACAAAUGAGCCACAUGUUACAUUUGGAUAAUUAUUAUUAUUUUUUUUCACAGCA